rnacentral:RNase_P_RNA from 3 species
AAGGCAAAUCGGGCAAUCGUCGCGUUUUUUAACUAAAACGGGGAGGAAAGUCCGGACAUUUCCUAUGAAAAUAGGAGCAGGGUAGCGGGUAACGCCCGUCGGAAGCAAUUCCAGAGGUGCGAGCAGAGACGCCUGUGAAUCCGAAAGGAUCGGGCACCCUUCCGCAAGGGAGGGUGAGUCUCCAUGGUGACAUGGGGAGUGAAACGGCUAAAUCCUUACCUGAAUGCAAGACCGUGUUCGAUAUUCCCCUAGGAAAUAUCGAAAGUGUCGCUUGAAUCCGAUGGCAACGUCGGAUCUAGAUAAAUGGUUGCCUAAGACAGAAUCCGGCUUACAGAUCUGCCUUGAUA